CUUUCUCCUCUCUUUAUUCCUCUCCCGAACUUAUCGCUUCAUCUCCUCCCCUCCCUCAUGCACCGCCCUCUUUCUCGAUUUCACCUUCUUCUCUUCCCCUCUCCUGGUUCUAAUCGCGCCGAUCACCAGCGACUAGGGCAUCAACGCCAAUUGCCACAAAGGGGCAGAUCAUUGCUCAUUUCGCCCUUGAUAUGCUGCCUAAUCGAGCGCCAGCGUCGGGAUUCUUCGCAGUAGCAGACACCACCUCUUCCUCCCGACUACAAUCGCAGGUCACAUCUCCUCACUUUCCUUAUCGGCGUAGAUUCAUCGAUCACCAUAGACUCGUCUAGUUGUCUCAGCCUCGAGUCACGGCCUUGCACGAGCCAACUUUCGACCGAGAGGUGGAUGGAAUCGGAACCCUAGCUCUGAUCCGUCAAUGUUUUCCCUCUCAUGACCUUCCUUCAUCCAUCGCGACCUGAAGCUGACUGUCCGAGCCCUAUCGCUGAUGCCGCUAGCCAAUAUGUGAGACCUUCCAUUCUGUCGACGCUCUAUGCAUCAUUGAUCGGUGAUUGAUGUUGGUCGUUGUUUGUCAUGCUCCUCUCUUUUCCUCUGAACACUGAGUUAUGCCCCUAACACUCUUGUCGCCCUCCUAUUUGCUGGAUCAGCAUCUCAGUAGCUCAGGAUCCUUCAUUGUGCAGCUACAGAUCUGGAUUUGGGUAAGUUACGGAGUUGUGGUUAGCCAUUAAGCUCCAACUGCGCUGUUCGUUAGCGAACCACAGCUCCGGCCACUUUUCCAGUAGCAAGCUUCCUCGGUCACGGGUCAACGGCUGCGCAAUUGGAUUUGGGAUACUAGUCGGAGACACAUCUCGACGUGACAUUAUUUAUCACAAUCGACAAAUAAAGGUAGCAGGUAAAGGAUUUAUGGAGUCGCUUGGAGGUCCUGUUUGCUAGUCACACAUCACAUUCAAGGACGAUCUUCUAGUUUCGGUUUCUUACGCUAUUUUGUUUUGGAUUUGUGAUCUUGGCAUUGUAAUAGUUUGAUGUGGACUUGGAGUUUUGUCUUGUGGUAUCUUGUAUUUGGUUUGGUAAUAUUGUGUCAAGCCGAGCUGGCUCGCAGUUAGUUGUU